CUCUACUAUUAUCUAGUAUUACUAUAUUUUUCCAUUAACAUAAAAAAGCAUAUUCUUUCUCAUUUUUAUUGAAUAAAUAAAAGUAAUAAAUAAGCAAAAUUUUCAUUUUUAUCUAUUUUCAAUUGAAUUUAAAUUGUAAAAAAAAAACUUCAUAAAAGAUUAGGAAAAGUAAAAGUAUAUGAUAUAGAAACCUAUAAUAUAAAUGAAUACAAAUAAAAACAAACAAAUCGAACCAAACUAUAAAAAGUACUUGUUAUUUUUAAAGUUUAAAGAAACUAUGUAAGGCAAAUAGUACUAAAUAAAAAAAAAGGAGCAAUAACGCCCUCUUGUUUUAUCAAGAGGGAAGCUAUUGCUCCUUUUUUAGUUCAAAAACUCCUAUACAAUCAGACCAAAGUC
rnacentral:misc_RNA from 2 species